rnacentral:rRNA from 2 species
CGAGCGGCGGACGGGUGAGUAAUGCAUAGGAAACUGCCCAGUAGUGGGGGAUAGCCCGGGGAAACCCGGAUUAAUACCGCGUACGCCCUUCGGGGGAAAGCAGGGGAUCUUCGGACCUUGCGCUAUUGGAUGUGCCUAUGUCGGAUUAGCUAGUUGGUGGGGUAAAGGCCUACCAAGGCGACGAUCCGUAGCUGGUCUGAGAGGAUGAUCAGCCACAUCGGGACUGAGACACGGCCCGAACUCCUACGGGAGGCAGCAGUGGGGAAUAUUGGACAAUGGGGGCAACCCUGAUCCAGCCAUGCCGCGUGUGUGAAGAAGGCUUUCGGGUUGUAAAGCACUUUCAGUGAGGAGGAAAACUCUGCGACUAAUACUCGUAGGGCUUGACGUUACUCACAGAAGAAGCACCGGCUAACUCCGUGCCA